rnacentral:sRNA from 1 species
GAGGCCUGCCGAAUUCGGCAGGCCUCAAGUUUUAUGAGAGCGGGAAACCAGUUCUCAUAUCGUCAUUAGAAGCAGAAGCUGCUGAUGAUGAUAA